CAGACAAGGAGAAAGAAGGAAAGAAUACUUCCCUAAACCCUUUAUCUAAAGACCACUGUAAAUAUUUUGGGCUAUCUGUGACGGUGGAUGAGGGAAGAUGGACGUGCUGACUUACUCUAUUGGUUGCCUUGCUGCUGACUCCCAUUGGCUGCACUCUGCUUGCUGACAGAACCCUGAUUUGGUUCAGGUAUUGGUGACCUUACUCUUCAGAGGAUGACAGGUCCCUGCCUAGCCCCAGGAGCACAGGGAAAAUAUGACACUCAGUGAAAACAAGGUGAGGAAAAUCAGUUCAUCACCAUCAUACCCAACAUUUUCUGACUGUUGACAACAUCCAGCUACCAUUGUAAGUUCUUUACUUAUUGGGUC